GUCUUCUUUGAAGGCACCCACCAUCACUGACUUCCACAGCCCGGCCGCAAAGCCGGGCUGCUUUUU
rnacentral:sRNA from 1 species